AAAUUCAAUAUUUCACUGCCCUUAAAAUUCUGUGGAUAGGCUUCAAAGUAAAUUUGGUAGAUUUGCCAGAGUUGUUGGGCAAUAUUUCUUCUCUUCAACAGCUGUAUCUUGUGUAUUGCCCCGACCUGGUGCAUCUGCCCACCAAGGAAGCCAUGCAACGCCUCACCCAAUUGAAAAAGCUGGUGAUUUGGAAUUGCCCCAAAUUUGAACACAAUGAGAGGAUCAAGAUUAGCCACGUUCCAUGGGUUGAAAUCAAUUCUGAAGAGGUGCCAUAUUGCAAAGAUUUCGACUCAGGAGACUGGUGAGAAGUUUGCAUUUGGGAAAAUAUUAAGUUGAUGACAACUGUUGCCAAGGCACUUCAGGGUGUAGUGAUUUAAGUGAUCCCCAGUUCAACUAGUGCAAGCAAAUUUGAACUCACAUUCCUAUAAAGUUUCUGACAACACUGAAGUUGUUGAUGGUUCUACUUCUAAUAUAUUAGUAUAUGGUUUCCACCUUUUGAAGCUCACAAGAAGAUUUCAUCUCGUAAAAUAGUGAACUUGAUGACAAAUGAUGCCAAGGAACUUCAGUUGCACUAUCUACAUUGAAAAUUUUGCAAUACUAAAGUUGCUGUGUAUGAGAGAGAAGAAGAUUUCAGAAAUUUUUUUCUACUAAACCAACUAGUUUCAAGCCAAAAUUGGAAGCUCAUUUUAGUUCCGAUUUUGAUGAAGUUUUAGCAUGUUGUUCCUGAUGAAGAGAGCUUGUAUUGACCAGUGUUGUUGCUCGCUUGAAUGCUAGACACUUGGUGAGAUCUUUUCUUCUUGUUACAGUUGGCAUCCACCUUAUUGCCUACUGUGAUGAAUAACUUUUUGUAAUUCAAGAGUGAUUUUUUUUCCUUGGUAGCCUCUAGCAUUUGUUCUCGAGAAUAUUGUAGCAAACCCAUUUUCUUAGAGAAAAUUUUUAAUGGACUAGGUCCUGUGGUUUUUCCCUUUUCAUUGAAGGGUUUUCCACGUAAAAAUUUGAGGUCUU